AAGGCCCUUCGGGGUACUCGAGCGGCGAACGGGUGAGUAACACGUGAGCAACCUGCCCCAAGCUUUGGGAUAACCCUCGGAAACGGGGGCUAAUACCGAAUAGGACUUCUGGCCGCAUGGCUGGUGGUGGAAAGUUUUUCGGCUUGGGAUGGGCUCGCGGCCUAUCAGCUUGUUGGUGGGGUGAUGGCCUACCAAGGCGACGACGGGUAGCCGGCCUGAGAGGGCGACCGGCCACACUGGGACUGAGACACGGCCCAGACUCCUACGGGAGGCAGCAGUGGGGAAUAUUGCACAAUGGGCGGAAGCCUGAUGCAGCGACGCCGCGUGAGGGAUGACGGCCUUCGGGUUGUAAACCUCUUUCAGCAGGGACGAAGCGAGAGUGACGGUACCUGCAGAAGAAGCACCGGCCAACUACGUGCCAGCAGCCGCGGUAAGACGUAGGGUGCGAGCGUUGUCCGGAUUUAUUGGGCGUAAAGAGCUCGUAGGCGGCUUGUCGCGUCGACCGUGAAAACUUGGGGCUCAACCCCAAGCCUGCGGUCGAUACGGGCAGGCUAGAGUUCGGUAGGGGAGACUGGAAUUCCUGGUGUAGCGGUGAAAUGCGCAGAUAUCAGGAGGAACACCGGUGGCGAAGGCGGGUCUCUGGGCCGAUACUGACGCUGAGGAGCGAAAGCGUGGGGAGCGAACAGGAUUAGAUACCCUGGUAGUCCACGCUGUAAACGUUGGGCGCUAGGUGUGGGGGGCCUCUCCGGUUCCCUGUGCCGCAGCUAACGCAUUAAGCGCC
rnacentral:rRNA from 1 species